ACCCAUUAAGUCGGCAUUAUUCCACACAAUUUCUCGUUUUCCCAAUUUCCAUUCGUGUUGAUAUAACUGUAUAUCAACACGGAAAAUGUUUUAUUUUUGUUAAUUAUUUGUUGAUAUACAGUUAUAUCAACACGAGUGUAAUUGGGAAAACGAGAAAUUGUAUGGAAAUGCGACGCCCGAAGGGUGGA